GAAUGAGGAAGAGAGAAGAGGUAGGGUAUGAGGAAGAGAGAAGAGGUAGGGUAUGAGGAGGAGAGAGAGAAGAGGUAGGGUAUGAGGAGGAGGGAGAGAGAGAAGAGGUAGGGUAUGAGGAGGAGAGAGAGAGAAGAGGUAGGGUAUGAGGAGGAUGGAGAGAGAGAAGAGGUAGGGUAUGAGGAGGAUGGAGAGAGAGAAGAGGUAGGGUAUGAGGAGGAGAGAGAGAGAGAAGAGGUAGGGUAUGAGGAGGAUGGAGAGAGAGAAGAGGUAGGGUAUGAGGAGGAUGGAGAGAGAGAAGAGGUAGGGUAUGAGGAGGAUGGAGAGAGAGAAGAGGUAGGGUAUGAGGAGGAGAGAGAGACAAGAGGUAAGGUAUGAGGAGGAGAGAGAGAGAAGAGGUAGGGUAUGAGGAGGGUGGAGAGAGAGAAGAGAUAGGGUAUGAGGAAGAGAGAGAGAGAAGAGAUAGGGUAUGAGGAGGAGAGAGAGAGAAGAGGUAGGGUAUGAGGAGGAUGGAGAGAGAGAAGAGGUAGGGUAUGAGGAGGAG
ensembl:lncRNA